rnacentral:rRNA from 1 species
UACAGAGGGGCAAGCGUUAUUCGGAAUUAUUGGGCGUAAAGGGCGCGUAGGCGGCUUUUCAAGUGACGGGUGAAAUCCCUCGGCUUAACCGAGGAACUGCCUGUCAGACUGGAAGGCUUGAGACCGGGAGAGGUGAGUGGAAUUCCCAGUGUAGCGGUGAAAUGCGUAGAUAUUGGGAGGAACACCAGUGGCGAAGGCGGCUCACUGGACCGGAACUGACGCUGAGGCGCGAAAGCGUGGGAGCAAACAGG